UCCAGAGGCAAUUUGUAAUCUCGGCACGAAAUCGUCUGAUGAAAAUCUGAGGUGCCCGACGCAUAACAUUUUGAACGUGCCACGGAGGAUCAAGGCAAAAAACGAGAGCAAAAAAUGGCGCACGCUGAAGGCGGAAAUGAAGCAUGAUCUGGCUUGCAUCUGGUCAUGAAGAAAUUGCUGACACGUUAGUUGCAGUCCACCUCCACCAACAGGGUGGAAAACAAAGAUCGCCAUUCCGAUUAGCUGCUAUCUCCCAGUUCAAGCACUUUUGCUGUCUGGACACUGGUUCCUGUGGAUGGG